UUGCUUAUCUGGUCAUCAGCUGGGGGCAUGGGCUCCUUCCAGCUUGGGUCCAGUGUCGUCACAUCCUGAGGACUUGCAGCAGAGCCUUGGUUCCCUGUGCCCCACUCUAAGGGGGUGUCUGUGGCACUGUCUAGGGCAGCUGGAGCUUUGACAUCCAUAGCUCUCACUGUGAUCAGCUAGGUUCUCCAGUUCUGGCUGUUCGGAUGUGUGUGUAUUGGUAUCUCAGCACAGAUUUGUCAUUUUCCUAAUGUUUCCAGCUUUCCAAGGCCAGGAAGAGGGCCCGGGUCAUGGACAGGAUCUUAGAUCCACAGAUGAUGGAGAAGCUAGGACAGAGAUAGGCAGACAAGUCUGAGGAAGCUGCAACCCGCUGGCCACUCUGGAGGGUUGAAGCACACACCCUUCAACUGCAAUGCUGCUGCUCUGGACAUGCUCAGAUCUUCCCGAGAGACCACGGCUGCCAUGAGCCUCACCUAUAGGUGGUCAGUGCUACCUACAAUCCUCACCAGGCCUGCCACUGCAGAGACCAACACCAUGAGGGUCCUGGCACUGGCAGAGGAUAGGAGAUGGGCAAAUAUCCGGAAGUCUCCAGUUCCCGUGAGGUGAUAACGAUCGCUGUCCAGCUGUUGUCCAGUCCUGGCCUGAAUCACUAUUAGAGCUAAGGAACAGGCUGGGGCUCACAGCCCAGACCCUCGGGUGGUGACUGGCAGUGGGGCAGGCACCCUGGAGGGUCAGGAGUAUGGGCAACCUGGAAGGCUCCGGAGAAGCCCUGGGACAACUCAGCCUAGAGGAGCAGCAGCUUGCAGAGGGGCACUUGGCGUGCAGGCUGCUCUGAUGGGGACCGAACAGUUCAUGGUUUCCAGAAGUUACGAACUUUAUGUCAGACCACCUCCACGAUUCCCACCCAGAGCACAGGAGCCAUACGACAGCAAUCAAAAUUCUAAAACAAGGUGCAGGGCAUUUCCAGCCCAUGUGCCCUUGUAGUAAAGCUGUUGGACCCUCCUCCCUGAAAACCACACCACCCUCCCUGUGCAGGAACUGCCAUGCUGUCCACAUGCAAGUACCAGAAAAGAAGCAUGAAACAAAAAAAAAAAAAAAGCUUGGAAACUUGCAAGUACCUAUGUAUCUAAUACACAGUAAGAGAAUCUCUUCCUUUUUUAUUGUUGAGAGUACCUUACUGUGUAGCCCAGGCCUGCCUCUAGUUUGAUGCAUAGCCCAGGUUGGCCUUAAACUUGGGGUCCGGCUGCUUCAGUCUCCUGAGUGCUGGAAUUGCUAGCACACACUGCCAUAUGUGGCCUUAAAGAAUUCCUAUGUAGGGGUAACUGUGUUAAAUGGGAUGACCAAGAGACACUUGUUUUUAGAUAGGGUCUCAUGUAUCCAGGCUGACCCCAAGCUUAUGUAGCCAAGGAUGGUCUUGAACACCUGCUCCACCUGCCUUCAUCUCCAGAGUGCUGUGAUUACAGAUUUGCUACCAUGCCUAAAUUUCAUAUGGUCCAGAGGGUUGAACCUAGGGCUUCAGGCGGUCUAGACAAGCACUCUACCAAUUGAGCCCCAUUACCACCCAAAGGAACAUCUUCUGAAGCUGUGUUGUGCCAUAAAGCUAAAGAA